GACCACUAAACUUGUUGUUGGCCAAAGUGAGAUAAAGGACAGGUGUGGAACCGAGAUUACCAGGAAGCCGUUGUGAGAAUUUGUUGUUGUUGAUGAAAAGCACAUCUAGGUCUAAGGUGAAGACUUUAGCUGGAACUGACCCUGAAAAUGAGUUGAACCUGAUGUCUAAAAAGGUUAAGUUGAUGGCUUGGAGAACAGACACAGGGAAUUCACCAGAGUACUUGUUGUUGCUGAGAUCGAGCUCAAAUAAGUAACGGACUCUGGAAGUGCUAAUAUUCAUUGGCACAGGACCAGUGAAAUUGUUGGAGUUCGCAUGAAAGAUGGAUAAGUCCAGCAACUUAUCGAGGAAACCUGUGAGCUGAAGAUCCGGGCCACCAAAAUGGUAGCCGUUGAAAUCUGCCGCUGCAAGGGCUGUCACCUUCUGGUCAGGUACAGUUGCACAUUUAAAGCCUGGAUAACUACAGACAUCAUUUCCCACCCAUUUUUUUUUAAUGUUCAUGGGAUCAUAAGUAAUCAAUUCCUUGAAUGUCUGAAUUAUGUGAAAGUCUCUUUCGAUGUUUUUGCUCACAAAACCAUUACUUGGCGGCGGAGGCCGAGGAGAAGGAGGAGGCGGAGGGGAUGGCCUUGGAGGAGGGGGCGGCGAGGGCGGGGGUGGCGGAGAGGGGGGAGGGGGCGGCGGAGGGGGAAAACGUUUGGGAGGUGGCGGCGAGGGCGGGGUGGCGGCGGGGGGAGAGGGCGGGGGGGGGAGAGGGGGAGGGGGCGGCGAGGGGGAGGGGGCGGAGGGGGCGGCGGGGUGGAGGUGGGGGAGGGGCGGCGAGGGCGGAGGGGGGGAGAGGGGGAGGGGGAGGCGGGGGACAAAGGGGUUCGGGAGGGGCGGGGGAGGACAAAUUUCAUUCUCAGGAGAAGGGGCAGGAGAAUAUCCAUCCCCACCCCCACCUAUGAUUAUUUCUAAAGCUUCCCUCUCUGUCCCAACAGCCGCAUUGUAAUGCAAGCAUGAAUGAAAAAUGAGAGUGAAAAGUAGAAUUGAAGAACACAAAGAAGCGGUACCCAUCUAUACUGGCUGAAGGGUCUCUGGACUUGAGAGAGUAAAGAGAACAGGGACAUAUAUAUAUUACUAUGAAGAGGGUAGAGGUAGACCAUAAGUAAAGGAAGUCAAGAUUCACGAGCAUACAAAAGUUUGCAAAAGAAAAGUUGUCUUAGGGUGGGACUGUUGGGAUCUCAUUUUCAGACACUCCAUCCCUGCGAAUCAAACCUUUCUUUUGGGACAUGGUGGCAGCUAUUCUAUAGUAACAUGGUUCGAAGUGUCUUUAUAGUGCGCCAUCCCUCGUGGGACAUGAAUAUCACGGAAAGAGCGGAAAAUAAAAGGAAAUCAUCUGAAUUUCCAAGGACUUCAGUAAGAAAUUCUUGGUUUUAUUUGCUGCUGAGGAUGAAGGUGUAGGGACAUUAAAUUAAACUUUUAACUCAAUAAUUGGAUCUUGACAUUAGUGGGGACAACAUCUUCUUCAGUUAUUGGACUUCAUCUGUCAUGUAUGAGAGUUUUAUCUUGUGACUAUUCUUGAUAAAUUUGACUUUUCUUCACUUGUUUUCGACCAUAGGUUCUUAAGAUACUCGUCGGAAUAUAGAUAGCCUGUCGAAUUGUGCGCUCUAAUGAAAGAUCUUGAGCUAAGGAUACCAUUUGCACAUGGGUUCAAUGGACAGCCACCACCCGCAACCACCAACACGUCAAACAUCACAAAACCUGUGAAUUUUAAAAAGUUGCCCCAUUGAUGUAACAUAAAUUUAGGAUGUGAAGUUCGAUGGAUCAUCGGUGUGUCUCUUACCCUGCUUCUCAAUUGUUGAGAUUCGUCUCAUUGCAUUUUUAAACUCUUCAAUCAUAGAGCUGAGAAUGAACUUGAAAAAAGCAAAUGAAUGCUUCCCUUCUGUUUCCUACUCGGUAUCUUUCAUUUUGGCGCUUGACAUCCCCCCCUUCUCACAAUCAGAAUCUUUGCAUGCUUCCCUUGUGUUUCCUACUCGAGAAUAAGAAAGAAUAUGGAAUGGCAUAUUGAUGAUUAAUAUUCUCUCAAGAAGAUACCGUCCUCGAUCUAAACUUAAACAAGCGAAAGAAAACAGCGUAAGAAUUUCAGGGAAAGAUGUCUUAAAACAAAAGCGAAAAAAGUGACUGUAUAAUAUGAAGUUAGCAGCCAUACAAUGAUCAAAAACCAUUCAACUGGGCCAGUUGUCAGCGGCUGAGGUGCACUAGAAUUUGAUCCUAAAUUCAGAUCCUUGAGAAAAAACAAUGCAAUGUUCAUGAUUCUGUGCUCAAACAAGCCUUUGAUUGAACAACAACAAGGGCCUUCGCUGUUCAGAGAACCAUCUCAAUUGUGUACAGUGCCAAGUGAAUCCGAACCCAUAUACACAUGCAGAGGGCAGACAUUAUUUUCUCCACACUACCGGUUCAAAUUAACCUCAAGUCCACCAAGAUAUGGAUUCUAACAAUCCCCGGUUCUUAAAGGCCCAAAAUUUAUUCGAAACUUACCUACUCAUUUCGUGGAGCUCUACACAUUCUAAAUUUUUCUAAGCACGUGAAUUUCUGAUUUCAAAGGUCCAACAAACGUCAAUGGAGCCUUACCAGACAAUCAUGCAAUAGGAGAACCUGUACAAUUUCCUAGUCUUAGGAAACAUAAAGUCGGAUGCAAAACAGCACACGUUACCCUUUCCCGAGUUAAUAGCCCGAUCAACCAGAACCACGACAAUCUUAACACGCUUGUUCACCACAAAUCCAAAUGGACCGACGUCUGCUCACACAUAAACUAGUCAACCAAGAAAAAGGAAAAUUAGUGGACAUGAGAGUUAAACUUGAAGCAUAUAUUAUGCAGUUUAAGAAAAAAGACAACCAACCUCAAAGAAGACAAGAACAGCACAAGAAAAUUUAGAAUCAAGACUUUUCUUCUGUUACAACAAGUCUUUUAUGAGAUUAAAAAAAUCAGAGAAGGCAAUAAUUCAUGAAAAAAAGAGCAAACUAGAAUAUAAUACACUCAGUUUCAAUGACUUUUCUAUAUUUUCUUGCUACAGUGAUUUGGGGAAGGGUGGGUGGGUGCGGGUUUUCUCACAUGCUUUGAUGCCAAGUUUGAUUGCCAAAUAGUCUCAAUCAGAGAAAAUCAAGUCUUCAUCAUGUUUUCAGUAACUGUGCCCCAGUUUUCUACGAGAAUUUGUAUAUAUUUAAACGAAAGAGAGCAUGUUUCAUAAAAGCAACCUUUUUACAUAUUUUAAGUUUGACAUGUUUACCAGGAACAUGCUUGGAAACCAGGUCAUUUUUCUCUGUUUUAUUUCAUAGGGUACAUUAUAUACAAUCUCAAACCACAGCCUAGACAAGGAGAGCAAGAACAAGAAUUUUCCCAGGAAAAAUAAACCCAAAACCUAUUAACCAACUGACAAAUUAUUGUUCUAUUUAUUUGUGCAUCCCGACUUUCCAACCAUCAUCAGAUCACUAAUCAUCAACCGGAAAUCUGUCUUACCAGACCACAUGGAUUCAAUGCCAUACCAGCUUCAUAUACUAUUUUUCCCAUAUAUGGCUCAUGGCCACAUGAUCCCGACAGUAGACAUGGCAAGAUUAUUGGCUAGGCAUGGAGUGAAAGCAACCAUUGUUUCCACUCCUCUUAAUGCACCCCUCUGCUCUAAAACUAUUGAAAGAGAUAGACAACUGGGUCUUGAUAUCAGUAUUCACAUUAUAAAAUUCCCUUCUGCAGAAGCUGGGCUGCCAGAAGGAUGUGAGAACCUAAGUUCUAUUCCCUCGCCUGACAUGCUUCCGAAUUUCUUAAAGGCCAUCGGCAUGCUUCAGCAACCACUUGAACAGCUCCUAGAAGAAUGCCAUCCCAGUUGUCUUGUGGCAGACAUGUUGUUUCCAUGGGCUACAGAAGCUGCACACAAGCUCAGGAUUCCAAGGUUGUUUUUCAAUGGAACAGGUUUUUUUCCUGUGUUCUUCGAUUCCCUAAAACGCUAUGAAACUCCCAAAGGAGUAGAUUCAGAUUUCGAACCAUUCGUGGUGCCUGGUUUACCAGAUCAGAUAGCUGACAAGAUUACGACUGCCGGCUUUCAUUAAAGAGAGAACUGAGAAUGAACUUACAAAGCUGAUGGAUAAAGUCUCAGAAUCAAUGGUGAGAAGCUAUGGAGUCCUCACGAACAGUUUCCUUGAGCUGGAACCAGCUUAUUCAGAGCACUACAAGAUGGAAAUAAAAAGGAAAACAUGGCACAUCGGGCCGCUGUCCCUUUGCAACAGGGACAUGAAAGAUAAGGCAGAGAGAGGCAACGUGUCCUCCUUUGAUGAACAUUAAUGUAUGAGAUGGCUGGCCAAAAAGAGCCUCAACUCAGUUCUAUAUAUAUGUUUUGGAAGCUUCUUCAACCUUUCCGCUGCUCAUUUACUUGAGAUUGCCAUGGCCCUGGAAGCUUCUGGACAGAAUUUCAUUCGGGUUGUGAGAGAGAGAAAGCAAACAAAGCUUGCAGAAAAGGAGGAGUGGUUGCCAGAAGGAUUUGAGAAAAGGAUGGAAGGGAAGGGCUUAAUAGUAUCGGGAUGGGCACCGCAAGUGGUGAUCCUUGAUCAUAAAGCUGUUGGAGGGUUCAUGACUCACUGUGGUUGGAACUCAACAUUGGAGGGAGUGACUGCAGGGGUGCCGAUGGUCACAUGGCCACUUGGUGCGGAACAAUUUUGCAAUAAAAAGCUGAUUACCGAUGUUCUCAAAAUAGGAAUUGGAGUUGGUGCCCAGGAAUGGUCAAGAUAUGAAAAGAAAAUUAUAGUGAGGAAGGAGGACAUAGAGAAGGCAAUUAUUCAGUUGAUGGUUGGUGAAGAAGCUGAGGAAAUAAGAAACAGAGCAAGGGUACUGAAAGAGAUGGCAAGGAGGGCUACGAAAGAAGGAGGAUCAUCUUACUCUGAUUUAACUGCAUUUCUUGAAGAAUUAUAGGCCCUUGAGACAAGCAAGCAAGAACGUGCACCACAUUAACAAGACUGUCUUGUUGCAUCAUUCUGAAAACUAGAAGAGUGUGAAGAAAAAGGAAAAAAAAAGGUAUCCCGUAGAAUGCUAAAUGUUGCUUCUCAGAUAUUUAGUUUUUCAACAAAAUAAAAGAAAGAGCGUUCUACAUGAAUUUUGCAUCCAUACAACAGUCAUACAUAUCCGUGGUUUCAAUGACAUGAUAGCUUUAUUGAUGACUCCAAUGGAUACAAAGUCUAAAAGUCUAAACAAACUACUUGAUUUGAAAUGUGCUAGCUUGUUUUCUGUUCAAAACGAAAACCAUACACUUUGAUUCCAUUCUAACAUUAAUUCAUGAAAUCUCUUAAAGGGUUAUGGCUCUAAACCCAGUUGAUCGUAAAUCACAGCUGGACUUGUCUACUUAAGGAGGAAGUCCUAUGGGAAUCUCUGAAAAUGUUAAACAUGAUAAAGCUAGCAGAAGCACUCACCUUAACCAGCUAAUUAAAGAUCCUGGCUGACCACAAGCUGCAACUCGGGAAGUACUCAUCCAAGUAUGAUGAAAACUUGGAUAUAUAAUCUUUACGCAUACAUAAUUAAAGAAAACCCGAAGAAUUUUAUUUUAUUUUAUUAGAAAAUAACUCGCAGCACAAGUUUCCAACACCUCAGUCCGUGAAUAACAAGAUUUGCAAGCAAAGAAUAAGGAGUUUUAAUAAAGGAUAGAAGUUCUCCAAAGUAGAUAUCAUCCUCGAUCUAGAAUGCAAGAAGCAAAGAAGAACGGCGUAGGAAUGCCAGAAAUGAUGAAAGGAGGGGACCCUUAUUGAAGGUUUCAACCAUAUAAUGAUCAUGAGCCACUGGACUGGGCCAGCGGUGAGGAUUGGGGUGAACUCGAAUAUGAUCCAAAGUUCAAAUUCUAAGAGAAAAAACCAUACAAUGACAGUAGAUUAAGCGGGCAAAAGGAUUUAAUCGAGCAAAAUUUUGAUUGAACAAUAAAAAGGUUAAGGGCAUCGGAUCUUCAGACAAUCAGCCCAGUUGACAGUAGUGCUAAGUAGGUCUGAACCCAAAUACACAAUUCAGCAGCUAGACAUUAGUUUCUUGAAACUGGUGGUUCAAGUUGACUUGAAAUUCAUGCUAAAAAAUAAGGAUUCCACCCCAACUUCGGUACAAACAUAAAAAGCCCAAAUUUUCACCGAACUUCUAUAAGCUGAGAAUUUCAGAAGUGAAAGGUCCAACGUUGGACCUUCAGCAAUUGAAACCGAGAACCCACAAUCAUAAGAAAGGAAAGAUUAUAAUUUUCGUUGUCCGGCCACAAAGUUAGAUACAAAACAGCACACAUGACCCAUCUAAGAACCCCUUCGGUCAUGACCAUGACAAUGCAACCUAAAAAAUCUUAUUUCACUUUAAAGCACAAAUCCAAAUGCACCAACAUGAGUUCAUAUAUAAAAGUUGUCAACCAAGUAAAAAAAAUUGAACAUGAAGUCAGACUUGAAACAUAAACAAUGCAGUAUAAGAAGACUGGCGACCAAGACAACCCCAAAGAAAAAAUAAGAUCAAUAAGAAAAUUUCAGUUUUAAAAAAUAAAAAUAGAGAUCAAUAAGAAAUUUCACAGACGAGUUCUACUGGGAUGUCAGAAGGAAAUAAAGAAUAAAUUCAUGGAAAAAGAGAGAGAGAGAGCAUAUUGCGACAUGAUAUACUGUGAUUGUCAGCAAUUGGAUGCCUCGUGGGCACAAAGAAAAUUUAGUCUUUAAAUUGUUUCUUUAAUAGGAGGGGUUAGCAACUCUAACCCAGUUUUCUUAGAGAAACUGCUAAAUGUGUAAAUAAAAGAAAUCAUUUUUCAUGAAACAAUCAUUUUAUAUAUUUUAUGUUUCAUAAAGGUUAGCAGGACACAACAAUAUGCUUGGAAACCAAGUCAUCUUUGUCUAUUUCUCUUCUUAAGGUCCAAUACAUAUCUGAACUCAUAAACAAGAUGAUGAGGGGAAAGCAAGAAUUGGAAUAUGAUAUGGGAAAAUAAUGCCCGAACCUAGUCUCUGCAGCCAUCCCAAAUCAGCGGAUAAAUCAUUGUUCUAUUUCUAGCCUUUUGUUCUGUCACGACCCGAAUCCCAGAUCCGUGACCGGCAACGUAGGAGCGGUGUCGAAAGGACACCUCACCUACGCUAAGCCUCAUAACGGACAUAUCAAAAGAACAAUUUGUUCAAAAAUACGCAGCGGCUCAUAAUAUUCAGAAAUAUUAUAUUAUUCAAAUACUGAUGAAACCGAAAGAUAGUUAUUAAAACAAAAAUAAUAAUUCAUAAUACUAUUUACAUUGCCAAAAUCCAAACUUAAUUAAAACAAGGUAACAGUGGAGCGUCUAAGACAUCAAAUCAAAACUGAAAGGAAAGCCUCGCGAACAAGCUAUUAAGGAAGAUUCCAUCAAACCUGCAGAUGCAUGAAAUCUGCAAGUGAUUUCAGUAACAGCAUGGAGGAAAUCUGUUAAUGAUCCACAGCAAUAACCAAGCCUCAAAUCAUGCUGUGAAUUAAUACAAAUAUUAUGUCCAUAACUAUUUUGAUUACUGCAAUCUUUCCUUUACAAGAAUAUUCAUUACUGUAAUCUUUCCUUUACAAGAACAUGUAACCGCAGUAUAUAAUCAUAGGCUGAACAUCAAUACAAUUAUGUUGAGAAUUACACCGUAAAGUUCUGAGCACUUAAAAUCUCUUUAUGGUAUCAGAGCAAUUCCUCUCUAACGAGAAUUUGAUCCCCAUGUCUUCCACAAAUCAGUCUAUCUCCUCCCCUGAACUUUCCCUUGUUGUUUUCAACAUCAAUACUCAAAUCAAUGAGAAACUCACACCCUCAUCCUUCCCUCAAUGGCGAGCACAGUUUGAGGCUUUUAAUCGGCUAUGAUCUCCUGGACUACGUCAAUGGAGAAUCUCAGUGCCCUGUCUCAGAUGGCACUCCACAGUCUACAACAACAAAAAACCGAUGGGUAAGGCAAGACAAACUGAUUCUCAGUGCCAUUCUUGCAUCCACUUCACCCUCCAUCACGCCUCUCAUUGCCACCACCAAAACCUCACACGAGGCAUGGAAAAAACUAUCAACACUGUAUGCGAGCAAAUCGCGUACAAGGGCAAUGCAACUCAAGGAAGAACUAACCUUGAUUCAGCGUGGAAAUCGACCAAUUUCAGAGUAUCUUCACACGGUCAAAAGUUUGGCCGAUGAAAUUACACUUAUUGAUCACCCCAUCUCCGAUGAUGACUUAACCCUCUAUGUUCUCCAUGGGUUAGGUCCAGAAUUUCGUGAGAUUGCUGCUCCUAUUCGAGCACGAGAAAAAUCCCUUGCCUUCGAAGAACUUCAUGAUAUGCUUGUUGGGCAUGAGAGUUACCUGAGAAGGAUGGAAGCUGCUACACAGCAGCUCGUGGCUGCUGCAAACUUUACCGGCCACCGCUUUGCCAACAAGGAGACCGUCUCCUCUGUAUCGCAGCAAAACAGAGGAGGAAAUAAAGGAAAUGGUUUCUUUCGCCAACCAGGACACAACCGUCCCUCAAAUGGUUCAUUCAGAGACCGCCAGCGCAACAAUAAUAAUUCGGGCCGCUCCAAUCCAAACCGACGCUUCCAGCCAAAGUGCCAAUAUUGUGAUCAAUUGGGUCAUACAGCCAAGAUCUGCCCGAAACUUCAAUCCUCUCCCAUGACUGUUAAUUGUGCUGAAUCCUCAGAUACUCAAGAUAAUAAAUGGUUAAUUGACUCUGCAGCCUCUCACAACAUUACGGGUGAUCUUCAAAACUUAUCAAUUCACUCUGAAUAUGACGGCACUGAUGAGGUCCUUCUUGGUGACGGUACAGGUUUGGCAGUAACACAUAUUGGUUCCUUAGCUUUACCCACACCUACAAAAACUUUUCAUUUACAUGAUACUUUAUGUGUUCCUCAUAUUCACAAGAAUCUCAUUUCAGUUCAUCACUUCACCAAACAUAAUAAUGUUUUUCUUGAACUUCAUCUCUUUUUUUUCUUGUGAAGGACAAAAUCACGGGGGCAAUACUUCUAAGAGGUGCGUGUGAGAAUGGCGUAUACGUGUUUCCAAACUCCUUGAUGGCUUCUCCCACUCCAAAAAAAGUUGCUUAUGUGCAUGAACGGACUUCACUUGAUGGGUGGCACAAACGUCUUGGACACCCUUCAAUCAAACUUGUUCAACAUCUUGUCAAUCAAUUAUCCCUUCCUGUUUCCACAAAAAAAAAUUCAUCUUUAUGUACUUCUUGUUCCACAAAUAAAGCGCAUAAACAACCUUUUGGCUCUACAAGUUUUCAAAGUCACUCUCCACUUGACAUUAUAUACACUGAUGUUUGGGGUCCUGCUCACAUUACUGGGAUUUGUGGUGCACGGUAUUAUCUUCUUUUUGUGGACCAUUAUACCAAAUAUAUGUGGUUUUAUCCAAUGUCUGCAAAAUCUCAGGUAUCCAGUAUUUUUCCCCAAUUCAAAAAACUGGUGGAAAAACGCUUUCAGUCCACCAUCAAAGCCUUGUACUCCGAUAAUGGUGGUGAAUUUCUAAAGUUGAAAACUUACUUGUCCAAUCAUGGUAUAAGUCAUUACACUACUGCUCCCCACACUCCCCAACAAAAUGGUGUUGUUGAAAGACGUCAUCGUCAUCUUGUCGAAACAGGUCUUACCCUGCUUCAUGAUGCCUCAUUAUCUCUUUCUUAUUGGCCUCAUGCAUUUCAAACUGCUGCUUAUCUCAUAAAUCGCCAACCAACUCCUCUCCUUCAAAAUAAAUCCCCAUUUGAAGUGCUUUUUUGUCAACAACCAAAUUAUCUUAAAUUAAGGAAAUUUGGAUGUUUAUGCUACCCUCUCACUAAACCGUAUAACACCCAUAAAUUGCAGCCUAAGUCCACUCCCUGUAUCUUUAUAGGAUACUCACAAACUCAGAAUGCCUACAAAUGCCUAACCUUAAUAAUCAAUUUACCAUUCAAACAAAACCAUAACUCAAAAUCAUCAUAAUCUUCCAUAAUCAACUUAAUAAUCAAUUACCCACAACAAUCAACCCCUAACCUUCAAUUUAAUUCAUCAAUUUAAACCAAAACACAAAUUCUCAAAACCCUAACAUUCAUCAAAAUUGAAAUUUAAACUUCAAUAACACAUAUAUAUACAUAAUCUUACCUUUUUACUUAUUUCCUCCAAAUCUCUUUAUUUUCCCCUUAUUUUUCCUUCUUUUCUCUUCUUCUUCCUCCCUCUUCUCUCUCACGGUUUUGCUCUCUAAUUUUGCAGGUCUCUUCUUGUUUUUUUUUUAUAUUAUUAUUUAUUCUAUUUAUAUAUAUAUCAACUAUUUAUCCAAUUACUACUAUACCCCUCAUUUAAUUUAUUCCUACAUCUAAGCCUUCAAGGGCUUUCUAGGCUUUUCCUAUCCCUUUAAUACAAAACAUCACAGCCAUGGCCCUGGAAGCUUCUGGACAGAAUUUCAUUUGGGUUGUGAGGAGAGAAAGCAAACAAAGCUUGCAGAAAAGGAGGAGUGGUUGCCAGAAGGAUUUGAGAAAAGGAUGGAAGGGAAGGGCUUAAUAGUAUCGGGAUGGGCACCCCAGGUGCUGAUCCUUGAUCAUAAAGCUGUUGGAGGGUUCAUGACUCACUGUGGUUGGAACUCAACAUUGGAGGGAGUGACUGCAGGGGUGCCGAUGGUCACAUGGCCACUUGGUGCGGAACAAUUUUGCAAUAAAAAGCUGAUUACCGAUGUUCUCAAAAUAGGAAUUGGAGUUGGUGCCCAGGAAUGGUCAAGAUAUAAAAAGAAAAUUACAGUGAGGAAGGAGGACAUAGAGAAGGCAAUUAUUCAGUUGAUGGUUGGUGAAGAAGCUGAGGAAAUAAGAAACAGAGCAAGGGUACUGAAAGAGAUGGCAAGGAGGGCUACGAAAGAAGGAGGAUCAUCUUACUCUGAUUUAACUGCAUUUCUUGAAGAAUUAUAGGCCCUUGAGACAAGCAAGCAAGAACGUGCACCACAUCAACAAGACUGUCUUGUUGCAUCAUUCUGAAAACUAGAAGAGUCAGAAGAAAAAGGAAAAAAAAAGGUAUCCCGUAGAAUGCUAAAUGUUGCUUCUCAGAUAUUUAGUUUUUCAACAAAAUAAAAGAAAGUGCGUUCUACAUGAAUUUUGCAUCCAUACAACAGUCAUACAUAUCCGUGGUUUCAAUGACAUGAUAGCUUUAUUGAUGACUCCAAUGGAUACAAAGUCUAAAAGUCUAAACAAACUACUUGAUUUGAAAUGUGCUAGCUUGUUUUCUGUUCAAAACGAAAACCAUACACUCGAAUACACUUUGAUUCCUUUCUAACAUUAAUUCAUGAAAUCUCUUAAAGGGUUAUGGCUCUAAACCCAGUUGAUCGUAAAUCACAGCUGGACUUGUCUACUUAAGGAGGAAGUCCUAUGGGAAUCUCUGAAAAUGUUAAACAUGAUAAAGCUAGCAGAAGUACUCACCUUAACCAGCUAAUUAAAGAUCCUGGCUGACCACAAGCUGCAACUCGGGAAGUACUCAUCCAAGUAUGAUGAAAACUUGGAUAUAUAAUCUUUACGCAUACAUAAUUAAGAAAACCCGAAGAAUUUUAUUUUAUUUUAUUAGAAAAUAACUCGCAGCACAAGUUUCCAACACCUCAGUCCAUGAAUAACAAGAUUUGCAAGCAAAGAAAAAGGAAUUUUAAUAAAGGAUAGAAGUUCUCCAAAGUAGAUAUCAUCCUCGAUCUAGAAUGCAAGAAGCAAAGAAGAACGGCGUAGGAAUGCCAGAAAUGAUGAAAGGGGGGGAACCUUAUUGAAGGUUUCAACCAUAUAAAGAUCAUGAGCCACUGGACUGGGCCAGCGGUGAGGAUUGGGGUGAACUCGAAUAUGAUCCAAAGUUCAAAUUCUUAAGAGAAAUAACCAUACAAUGGCAGUAGAUUAAGCGGGCAAAAGGAUUUAAUCGAGCAAAAUUUUGAUUGAACAAUAAAAAGGUUAAGGGCAUCAGUGCUAAGUAGGUCUGAACCCAAAUACACAAUUUACCGGCUAGACAUUAGUUUCUUGAAACUGGUGGUUCAAGUUGACUUGAAAUUCAUGCUAAAAAAUAAGGAUCCCACCCCAACUUCGGUACAAACAUAAAAAGCCAAAAUUUUCACCGAACUUCUAUAAGCUGAGAAUUUCAGAAGUGAAAGGUCCAACGUUGGACCUUCAGCAAUUGAAAACGAGAACCCGCAAUCAUAAGAAAAGAUUAUAAUUUUCGUUGUCCGGCCACGAAGUUAGAUACAAAACAGCACACAUUUCCCAACCUAUCUAAGAACCCCUUCGGUCAUGACCGUGACAAUGCAACCUAAGAAAUCUUACAAAUCCAAAUGCACCAACAUGAGCUCAUAUAUAAAAGUUGUCAACCAAGUAAAAAACAUUGGACAUGAAGCCAGACUUGAAACAUAAACAAUGCAGUAUAAGAAGACUAGCCAAAUAGGACAACCCCAAAGAGAAGACAAGAUCAAUAAUAAAAUUUCAGUUUAAAAAAAUAAAAACAGAGAUCAAUAAAAAAAUUCACAGACGAGACCACUCUUGUUUUUCAACUAGAAUGUCAGAAGGAAAUAAAGAAUAAAUUCAUGGAAAAAAAGAGAGAAAGCAUAUUGCGACAUGAUAUACUGUGAUUGUCAGCAAUUGGAUGCCUCAUGGGCACAGAGAAAAUUUAGUCUUUUAAAUUGUUUUUUUAAUAUGAGGGGUCAGCAACUCUAACUCAGUUUUCUUAGAGAAACUGCUAAUUGUGUAAAUAAAAGAAAUCAUUUUUCAUGAAACAAUCAUUUUAUAUAUUUUAUGUUUCACAAAGGUUAGCAGGACACAACAAUAUGCUUGGAAACCAAGUCAUCUUUGUCUAUUUCUCUUCUUAAGGUCCAAUACAUAUCUGAACUCAUAAACAAGAUGAUGAGGGGAAAGCAAGAAUUGGAAUAUGAUAUGGGAAAAUAAUGCCCGAACCUAGUCUCUGCAGCCAUCCCAAAUCAGCAGAUAAAUCAUUGUUCUAUUUCUAGCCUUUUGUUCAUCCCAAAUUUCCAACCAUCAUCGGACCGCUUAAUCCUCUGCUCUAAAUCUAUACCUGUUCUACCAGGCCACACAGAUUCACAGCCAUAUCAGCUUUUCAUGUCCUAUUUCUCCCAUAUAUGGCUCAUGGCCACAUGAUCCCAACCGUUGACAUGACAAAGAUUAGUUACUAGGAAUGGGGUUAAAGCAACCGUUGUUUCCACUCCCCUUAAUGGACCCCUCUUAUCUAAAACAAUAGAAAGAGACAAGAAACUGGAUCUUGAUAUCAGCACUCACAUAAUAAAAUUUCCUUCUGCUGAGGCAGGGCUACCUGAAGGGUGUGAGAACCUAAGUUCUAAUAAUUCGUGGAACAUGAAUUCGGAUCUCUUAAAGGCCUUAAGCAUGCUUCAACACCACUUUAACAGAUCCUUGAAGAAUGCCACCCAAAUUGUCUCGUGGCAAACAUGAUGUUUCUGUGGGCUACAGGAGUUGUUGACAAGGUCGGGAUUCCAAGGUUGAAUUUCAAUGAAACGAGUUUUUUUUGUAUGUUUUUCUUUGAUUCCCAAAAACGAUGUGAUCCCCACAAAAGAGUGGUUUCAGUCUAUCAGAUUUUGAACCUUCUAUAGUGCCUGAAUUACCAGACCAGAUAAAGAAGACAAGACUGCAAAUGCAACUGCCAGAUUACUUAAAACAGACAACUGAGAAUGGACUUACAAGCUAAAUCAGAUUUCAGAAUCAGAAGUGAGAAGCUAUGGAGUCCUCAUGAAUAGUUUCCACGAGCUGGAACCAGCUUACUCAGAACACUGCAGGAAGGCAAGGCACAUCAGCUGCUGUCACUUUGCAACAGGAACAUUGAAGAUAAAGCAGAAAGAGAACAUAUAGCAUCCAUUGGUGAACAUGAAUGUUUGAGAUGACUCGCCUUGAAGAAACCCAACUCAGUUCUAUAUAUUUGUUUUGAAAGCUUGUUUGACUUCCAGCUACUCAAUCGUGUGGGAUUGCCUUAGCUCUUGAAGCUUUUUUUCCAGAAUUUCAUUUGGGUUGUAAGAAAGGGAGAGGUGAGAAAGCAUGAAGACAUGGAGGAGUGGUUGCUGGAAGGAUUUGAGAGAAGGAUGGAUGCGAAAGGAUAAAUGAUAAGGGGAUGGGAACCACAGGUGCUAAUCCUCGACCAUGAAGCUGUUGGAGGAUUCUUGACUCAUUGUUGAUGGAACUCAACGUUAAGAGGGAGUGACUGCAGGGGUGCCAAUGGUCACAUGGCCACUUUAUGCAGAGCAGUUUGAUAAUGAAAAGCUGAUUGCAUAUGUUCUAAGAAUGGGAAUUGGAGUUGGUGCCCAGGAAUGGUCAAGAUAUGAAAAGAAAAUUCUAGUGAGGAGGGCCGACAUACAGAAGGCAAUUAUUCAGCUGAUGGUUGACGAAGAACAAAUAAGAAAUAGAGCAAGGAAGUUGAAAGAGAUGGAAAGGAAGGAAACGGAAGAAGGAGGAUCGUCUUUCUCUGAUUUAACUGCAUUGCUAGAUGAAUUAAUGGCCCUUGAGACAAGCAAGCAAGAAUAUGCAGCACAUUAACAUGACUGUCUUGUUAUAGUUUCCUAUUAGAAUGUUCAGAAAAUAAGUAAUGUUGUUAGCAUUUAUUAUUCUGAAAACUAGAAUAGCCAGCAAAAGAAUAAUGACUACCGUAGAAAUACUAAAUGUUGCUCGUCAUUAUUCAGGUUUUCACAGAAAUAAAAGAAAGGGCAUUUUACAUGAAUUUUGCAUCCAUUCACCAGUCACAGAUAUCCGAUGACUGUGCCUAGAAGAAAAUACAUGGUAGUUAGUAGUAAUUACUUUUUAAGAUUUUUUUAUUUAAAAUAUAUUAAAAUAAUAUAUUAUUUAUUUUUCAAACUUAUUUUUUUUACAUAAGCAAAUGAUAUGAAAAUUAUAAAAAAAUUAUUUAUUUAUUUUUGAAAACACUUUUAAAAUGUAAAAAUCUAAUCUUCAUCUAAAAAAAUAUUUUUUUAAAUAAAAAAUAUUUUUUAAAAAACAUAAUAUACUAUAUGUAAUAUUUUGGUUGGAAAAUACAAUAAAGCCCUUGGAGGCUUAAAGAGAGGGUAAAUGAUUGAAGGGUAUUGUGGUAAUUGACCAAUAGUUGAUAAAUAUAUAUAAGAAAAAAAAAGAAAGAAUGAUCUGAUUUUGAGAGAAAGAGAGUUACGGGAGAAGAGAAGAAAAGAGGAAGAAGAAGAAAAGACAGGAGAGAAGGAAAGAAAGGAGAAAAGAAGUAGAGGAAAUAAGUAAAAAGGUAAGAUUUAUGGUUUUAAGUGUAUAAUAUGUUAAAUUUCGGUUUUGAUUAAUUUUGAGAGUUUUGAAGUUUGUAUUUUGAGUUAAUUGAUGAAUUAAUUUGAAGGUUAGGAGUUGAUUAUUGUGGGUAUUUGAUUAAUUAGUUGAUUUUGAGAGAUUGAAUUGAAAGAUAAUGAUUUUGAGUUAUGAUUUUAUUUAAAUGGUGAAAUUAUGUUAGAAAUCAGGGGAUAACAGUAGGUGAUAUGUUGAAAUUCUGGGUUUGAGGUUGAAGAUGACGAAAAUUCAAUUUGGUCCCUCAAUUUGUGAAAAUUGCAAUUUAGUCCCCGAACUUUGGAAAUUUUACAGAUUGGUCCCUGGGGCAUAAAUUGAGGUUCUGAACAGAACUGAGGAUGAUUUAAGGACAAAAUUCCAGUAUAAUUAAUAUUUUCAGUUUGGUCCUCCAAUUUGACAAAAAAUAUAAUUUGACCCUAAAAAUUUGGUAAAGUUCAAGAAUGGUCCUUGGAGCAUAAUGAUAUAUCCUGGACAGAAUUAAGGAUUAAUUAUGGACAGAAUUUCAGUAUGGUUAUAUAUUUACAGUUCGAUCCUCAAAAUUUGGUAAAAUUACGUUUUGGUCCCUAUUUUGGAAAAUUGUCAUUUUAGUCCCUAAACUUGGGAGAUUAAGCCCAGUUUAUUUUAUGCUUUGGGAUCUUUUGUUUGAUUUGUUUUUUAGUAUAUUUCAUAUAUUUAUUGUAGGUUCUCUUAACGAUUCUUAAUCGGAUUUUCGGGUCUUUCGUCCGACAUUCCUUUUAGUUCUAUAUUUUCCGGGUGAGUGGAAUAAUCUUUAAUGUGCAUAUAAUAUAAAUAAAUAUGUAUAUUGAUUAUACAAUGAGUACAACUAGUAAAUUUCUUGAAUAUUUACGUAUGUUGCUUUAUUUUCCGAGUACUCAUUUAUUUUUGAAUUUGCACUCGCAAUCUGUUAAAGUAAAUUCUAUUUGAUAUGAUAUACAUUUCUUUGAUGAUUAUGUGAAUAUCUGUUAUGCCUUGAUAUGGGACUUGUCAGUACUCCAUGCUAACGGAGAAUAGUUAGCUUGUGUGCACAUAGUAUUCUGUUACCUAGCUGGUGAGAGAGGCAUCAGCCUGUGGUGAUUGAUCAUCCCACAGUGGUCACCGACGGGUGUCAUCUGGUCACCGACGGGUGUCAUCUGGUCACCUUCGGGUGUCAUCUGAUCUCUGACAUGUAAUCCACUACGUUAUGAUAAUAUGUUACGUUAUGAUAAUAUGUUUAGUAAGUAUAUGUAUAUGUAUAUCAAGAUAUUAAUAUCUGAAAUGUAUAUUAAAUGUUAUUCCCUCACUGAGUUGGUUGAACUCACCUCUCAUUUUUAAUAUUAUUUCAGGUUCUUAGUUUCUGGGACUUUGUUGAGUGUUUCCGCUUCUUCAGUUCUGGUCGGUAUGCCUUGCUUGUUCGCGAGGCUUUCCUUUCAGUUUUGAUUUGAUGUCUUAGACGCUCCACUGUUACCUUGGAUUAAUUAAAUUUGGAUUUUGACAAUGUAAUGAGUAUUAUGAAUUAUUAUUUUUGUUUUAAUAACUAUCUUUCGGUUUAUCAGUAUUUGAAUAAUAUAAUAUUUUUGAAUAUUAUAAGCCGCUGCGUAUUUUUGAACAAAUUGUUCUUUUGAUAUGUCCGUUCUGAGGCUUAGCGCAGGUGAGGUGUCCUUUCGACACCUCUCCUACGUUGCCGGUCACGGAUCCGGGAUUCGGGUCGUGACACUAUACUACUAAAUACACUGUAUGAAUAAAUAUCUAUUUUCCAGAUAUAAAAAACCCACUCUAGAAGGAAACAUGAGCCCGGCGCUCUUCCCCAACAUGGCCAGCACAACUUAAUACAUCUCAUAUUAUAUGUGAUUUAUUGAGUGUUUGGUAUACUUUCAACAUGUUUUUAGAAAAAAAUUAAUUUUUCUUCUUUAAAUCAAUCUUUCAAUAUUUUUAAAUGAUUUUAAUAUACUAAAAUAAAAAAUAUAUUUUUAAAAAAAUAAAAUUAAUACAAUUUUUUAGUAAAAAAAAAAAACUUUAAAAAACAACCACUAUCAUAUCCUCAAAAACCCCUUUAAUCUAACUUAUUAUUAAUUGCUAAAUAAGUAAAAGAUCACAACUCUUAUUUUAAUCUCAAAAUAUUGCUUUAUAAGUUUAAUAAUAUCCCGGUCAUCCCUAUAAUUUAUCCUUUUGAUAAUGAAUAAUGUUAAAAAAAAUAAAAAUAAACUCUAAUAUGAACUCUGGUCAUCAAAUAACCAGUUAGAUUUAUAGUGAUUUUUUUAAAAUUUAAUCACCAUGGCAAUUAAAUUUCUAUAAUCUGAAUUAUUAAAUUUAAAACACCACUUGUUGGAUUUUUUUUGGGAUGAAACCAUUUUUUUACAUGUGGUGGAAUAUUUAAUUAAUUUGUUUUUUCAUUUGAGUUACUUUACAGGUCAAGUUGAAUCUCUCCACUUCUCUUCUUAAAUUAAUUUGUAUUUUAUAUUAAUUACAAACAAAUUUAAUUCUCACAAGAUGCAUAAAUUGAUUUGUCUUUUAUUAGCUUGUUUUUAUUAUGAUAUUUAUCACCGAAAAUUAAGCUAAAAAAUACUCGGAUUUUUUUAUCCCGUAAAAUACUUAUCACAAUGACAAUCAAACAAAAUUAAAAUUAGAAUAGUUAAAUCUUCUCAUACUAUUUAAAUUGAAAAAAAAGAAGUUGUUCUUACUCUGUUCUAUAAAAUUUUUUUUUUUUAAAAAACUUUGGUUUGUGCUCAGAGUGUUGUUAUGCCCGAUCCCAUUUAUAUUUGGGUGCUAGGGAAUGCGAGCAUUUAUUAUUGGGUCCGUGUCAAGGUUAUUAAAAUCGUGAUUCAACUCGUAAAAUUAUAUGUUUUUACAAGUUAAUAUAGGCUUUACAUUUUAAAUCGCUCAUAAAAAUCAAAAAUCAGUAAAAUCAGGUUAAAAUCAAGUAAAAUCGUAAAAAUCGAGUGAAAUCGCGAUUUCACCACGAUUGAACGAUUUUACCCGCAGGGAAUAAACAUUCAGUGUUGCUGCCAGGUGUCGCCUUCCUACUGGCUUAACAUAUCAAAUGCAAUUAACUUAAUUCACCGAAUCAGUCUUCUCUCUUCUCAUUCACAAGUCACGUUCUCACAAUCUCACUUCUCAGAACAUCACAGAUUCAAAAUCUCUAAAUUGAAAAUCCCAAAUUUCACAGUGACUCAGUCUCGGUCUUAUGGGCAGAGUUUGAUAAAAAUUUGUCUUGGGCAUGUGGCUUUCACUUCUCAGACUCAGUCUCACUUGGAAUUGGAACUCUCAGUCUUAGAGGCCACCUCAUCUUCUUAUCGGCUACUGUAGGCGGCGUAGGUGUCUUUUGUAAUUGAAUUCAAGUCGAUGCUUUCAACUCUUCUCCACUGGUUCGCGGCGUUCGCCUACUCGUAUGUGCCGUCUAGGGGCUCAUCAGAAGCAAGAACUUCUACCUUGUCAACUAGCUCAAGAUUUGAAGGUAAUUCGUAGUUCGCUAACAUUCACUCACCUGGAAUACUUCCACCUAUCGGCUCAGAAUUCCAUUACGCCCAGUUAACUCACUGCUUUCGCGGAUUCGCUAAGCAACUGAAAGAAAAAAAAAUAAAUGCUCAAAGGUGGCUUGGUAACAUGCUGGCUAAGGUUGGUCUCCCUAAAGCCGAGCGUAGGGUGGCUACUCUACUCCAGUAUUUUCCCUUUCUUUGCGGGCAGGGGUGCUAAUUGGGUCUGUGACGUCUGUCAUCUGUGAAUGAAUGGGUUUGCAGUUUGCUAAUUGUUUAUGAACGGGUCUGUAAAUGGUUUGAGUCUGCAUUUGUUUUGAUAAAAACUGCCACUCAUUUAUUACCGAUUUUGUGGUUGAACUUUGGAUUAAACAAUUUAAUAUUUAUUUUUAAGGCAGCGACUAGCGAGUCAUUUCCAUGUCUUCCCGAAUUGAAGAAGAAUAUAACUGGGUUCUGAUUUUGAAAACAAAGUCUGUGACUGUGAAUGGAUCUGUGAAUUCAAUAUUAGUUGAAUGCAGUAUUAGCUUCUUUUUUUUUUUUUAAUAGCUGGAUGUUUAAUAUUAAAAUUAAUUAUAAUCAUAAAAUAUUUGGAUUGAUUGCAGGGUUGAUUGUGUUUCCGAAUUGAAGUAUGAAUUUUUUUUUAAUAUAUUUUAAAAUUUUUUAUGAUUUUACGAUCUGUUUUUACAAUCCGAGUUUGUAGAUAACUUUCCGUGCCGUAUUAAAAUCACGAUUUUAACAAUCUUGAUCUGCGCAUUAAAUCCGGAUCCAGUUAACUGGGGUGCUGGGCUAACUAAUCCAGCGCUCCAGAUUAAAUUUUUUUGGGUAUGGGUGCAGUUUUAUCUUUCAUGCAUUAUAGCAUCCUUAUUUACUUGAACAUGUACCACAAGUCCAACUUGCCCAACCUAAUAUUUAUUUGGAAUUUUUUUUUGGAUCCCAUGUAGGUUUUUUAUUAUUUUUUUAUUAAUUUAAUAUGUAUUAUUUUAAAUAAAAUAUAAUUUAAAAUAUCAAAAAAAUCAAAUUAUAUUUCUGUCUUUCAUCUCCACAUAAAAUAAGAUUUAUAGGUUAUAAAUACUCCACGGCAUUUCAAGUUCCAAGUUUAUAAUCUCAACAUUCUUAUCACUUUCAAAAUAUAUAUUUUCAGAAUUGACUCAUCGUGGAUGGAACUCGACUCUUGAAGGCAUAACUGCAGGGAAGCCCAUGAUUACAUGGCCUGUAUUUGCUGAGCAAUUCUAUAAUGAAAAGUUGGUGACUGAUGUUUUGAAAACUGGAGUUGGUGUUGGAGUCAAGGAAUGGUUAGAGUGCGUGGAGAUCAUGUUAAGAGUGAAGCUGUAGAGAAGGCAAUCACUCGAAUCAUGGUGGGUGAAGAAGCAGAGGAAAAGAGGAGCAGAGCAAAUAAGCUAGGAGAAAUGGCAAGGAAGGCUGUUGAAGAAGGUGGUUCUUCGUGGUCUGAUUUCAAUGCUUUGAUUGAAGAGUUGAGGUCGUAUCGCCCUUGAAACUUCGACAGGAUUUCGAAAGGAUUGUCACGAACGUCGGACAACGUAUAAUAUACUAAAUUAUGUAUUGAAUUUUUUUGGGUUUUUUUUAAUAUAAAAAUAGCUAGUAAUAUACUAAAUUAUGUGAGCUAAAAACCGUGGACAAAAACUAAUCUAUAAAAAUCAAGAUUCAAGCUUUAACCACGCAAUUAAUUGUUUUUGAUCAAACGAGCAAAACCCAGAAUGUGUUUUCAAUUGAACAAUCCUUAUGUCCAUGAAAUACAACACAUGCCUUUGACUAGAUAUGGGUUAGUUCACAGUUCUUGCACUCACACACACUCUUUUAUGCUUCAAAAUUCACAAGUCUAACAGUGAUAUGAGAACUUCAUAUCCGUGCUCUCUCUUUCUCUUUCUAUUUCACUCUUUACUGAUCUCAACAAAGAAAAAGACAUCAGAUUCAUUGGCUAAACUGAGUGAAAUUAAGGCUUAUCCACAAUUCUACCAAAAGAGCCUAUCCCUACAAGAAUUCCUAACCCAUUUUAGCUCCUAAUACGGAGAAAAAAAUGUUUCUUAUUCGUAACACCUUCUACUUACAAUGAACUAGGAUCAACUCAUAACAUAAACUCAAAGAACCUCAUCAUUCUUUGAAAUCUGACGACUUUAUCUAAUUACCUACGAAGUAAUCUAAAAUUUCUCGUUAAUAAUACAAGAACCACCAAAUCAUUUGUUUGCCUCACAGGGACACAUCUGCGGUUUCUCAAGCACCGUACUUGGUUAAACUUUCCUUGUCAUCAUAGUGUUAGAGAAUAAUAUAACUCAUUUCUCGGGAUCUCACCUAAUAGUUUAAGCUAUUGUGUUGAGAUGGUUUUUUGACAUGGUAUCAGAACCUUGAUGACCAAGUGGUUACGAGUUCGAAUCUCACCAUUCCUAUUUAUUUGAUAAAAAUUAAGCACAAAGUAAUGUGGUUAUGUUCAAGUUUCAAGCCCAAAAGACUUUCAUUUGAGGGGAUGUAUUAGAGAAUAAUAUAAAUCAUUUUUUAGAACCUCACCUAAUAGCUUAAGCUAUUAGGUCGAGAUGGUUUUUUGACACAUAACAGGACCGAGUUGAAGUCAUAGGCUUAUGCUAAUCCGAGUGGACUGAGAUUUGGUAAGCCCGAGAUAGGCCCAAAAGGACUGCAUUUGGAUUUGUGCAGCUUGUAUAUGAACCUUUACAUUAUUCAGACAAACCUUUCAUACAUUCUUAGUUUCUUCCUGGAAAUUCAACUGCCUGUCUCGAAAGAGCACUAUAACCGACCAAAUUUCUCUUGGUUCCAAUAUGAGGAUGACUCGAUGAUGGAACCUUACAACGAAUGGAGUUGAACGAAGCAGGGUUUGAGCAAUACCUACGGUGCAAGGAGAAAGCCGCACACUCCCGCGCUGAUCUCUGACCAGGAAGAUCAGGAAUACAAUUUUUUCUAAUAUCAAGAACGCCACUCCUCUCUAGUUUCGUACACUUUGGCCCUAGUUUUGUAAAAUAAUUACUUGAAAGUGACAAAUUCACCAAUUUCCCCAAUGCGCACACCACCUCUGGCACCUGUCCAUACAAUAAGUUGCUGGCCAAAUUGAACUGUUCAAGCUUAGCCAAGCAUCCCAACGAGCAUGGUAAAGGACCGGUUAAGAAGUUGUUACUAGCAUCAAAAAGGACUAGUUUUCUCAAAAAACCUAGUUCAUAUGGGAGGCAACCUGUAAGUAAGUUGUGCGAGAACAGCACUUCAGUUAAUGUCGCGGAAGCUUUAAGGAUGCUGCGUGGGAUUGGACCGAUAAAUUUGUUGUAAGCCAAGGUGAGGUAAAGCACUGGGGUCGAGCCUAGGUUUUCAGGUAGUCCUUGCAUAAAAUUGUUGUUGUUGAGGAAGAGUGCGUCAAGGCGUUGAGUGAAUACUCGUGGAGGAACUGUCCCAGUAAAGAAAUUGAAUCGGAUAUCUAAAAAUGAUAGGGCAGGGAUUCCAAGAACCUCCAUGGGAAAACUGCCAAAGAAAUUAUUGUUGCUUAUGUCUAGUUCAUAAAGAAAUGGUAGUUUGGUGAUUUUUGGUGAUAUGGUGCCAGAAAAUUUGUUAGAGUUGGCAUGGAAGAGAGCAAGGUCAGGGAGUUGAUCAAUGAAGCCAUCGAGAGUAGGGGCAGACAGCUGGAAUCCAUUGAAAUCAAUGGAAGCAAGGGUAAUGGCAGAGUCAUUAUCAGGUGGACUAGUACAGUAGAAGCCUUUGUAGUUGCAUAUAUCCGCGCCACCCCAAGUUUGAGUGAUGUUGAGGGGAUCAGAGGUGAUAGUGUUCUUGAAGCCUUGGAUUAUUGGAUACACUAAGGCAAGCCUUUGGUCUAAGAAGUUCAAGAUUUCUGGAAUUAAUGGAGGUGAUAUCAAUGGAGACAGGCCUUGAAAGUCUUGGCAACAAGCCAGGCAAGUGAAACAUGGAAGGAAGAGGAUUGAGAUGUGGAAUAUGCUUCUGUUGUUUGAAGAAAUGCUUCCCAUUUGAUACAUGAGGUAGCCAGAAGAGAGUUUUGAAGAAGAUGACGGGGAUUAAGAGUGCUUUCCAGUGUUAAUUUAUACUUAAUAGUUAGUGUGGUUGGUGAGUCUCAUUAUCAAAUUGGAAGGCUUGUUAAUGCUUGUUCUUCCACUUGUCUUUCGGUGGAUUGAAUCCGAGGCAUGUGUUAUGACUAAUCAUUCUCCUCCGAGGUCAAUCUGUAGAUGAUUUUGGAUUUGUUUUAGGAGCAGAACUCGGGCGAGCUCUUCAAUUUUGUGCGCGUUGGGUUGCAGUUCAUUACUCGAAGAAAAUCGUCGUGUCAUUUAAGUUUAGUGAGGCUCUCUUCAACUGCAGGUUGAUAGCCAGAAUCCCAUCACUCUGGUUCCUGGUUUCCAUCCACUGAGGGUUCUGCAGUAAGAGUAUGGAUGGCAUUUUUCCAAAAGCAAUGAUCAGCCCAUUAAGGGGAAAUUAGUGCGCCAUUAACAAGAAGUGGGAUGCUGGCCUUUGAUACCAUGGGUGUCAUCGGGAAAAGCUGGCUGGGAAAUGAAUACCAUGGUUGAGAAAUUAGUGCGCCAUUAAGAAAUGAAUACCAUGUUGUACCGUGUUCCUUUAAUUUUAAUUUUAUUUAAAAUAGGUUUUUUAUAUAUAUAAUUUCAUAUAAUUUUAAUAUGUUAAUGUUAAAAAUAAUCAAUAAAAUUAUUUAAAUACAACCAAAAUCUCUUAUUAGUCUUGUCUAACAAAGUAUUUUUCGUGGUAUGAACUAUGAACAUGUUGAGUCAAUUUAUUUAUUUUUUUGAUUUGUUUUGAUAGAUAGGCCGGAGUGAUAUUUUUUUAAUGGCUAGUUUUCUUAAAGUAUCCUAAGCACUAAGCAUUAAGAAAAAAAAAAAAAAGAGGCAAGCAUGGUUUUGUUUUUACUCUUCAAAAAUAUAUUUUUUUAAAAAAAAAUGUAAUUUUUUUAUUUACUUUAAAUUAAUUUUUUUUUAAUAUUUUCAGAUUAUUUUAAUGCGUUGACAUAAAAAAUAAUUUUAAAAUAUUAAAAAAAUUAUUUUUAAUAAAAAUAUAUUUUAAAAAAUAACUUAUUAUCGAAUACUAGUUUGUUUAUUUUUCAUGGGCUUCACACUGACCUUCCCAUAAAAAAAAUCCCCCGUACGGAAAUCCCAGUUUAUACUUCUUAACUCGUCGCAACCAGCAGACCAACCCAGUUAAGCUAUAUAGUUGCAUUAAGCUAUAUAGUUGCAUUUGCUUUGAAAUCGAGAAGAAAACAGGAAUGAGUUCACCUUAUUGAAAACAGGAAGUAAAGGGGACAAAAUAUCAUUAAGCUAUAUAGUUGCAUUUGCUUUGAAAGCAGAAAUGAGUUCACCUUAUUCAUUAUGAUUCAUACGACAAGCUAUAAGCUGAUCAGGAGAAAUAUGUGUACAUAGAUAGGAGCAGCCAUCAAGCAAAUCAAGAGACUAUCUUGAAGGGAUCCAUUUAAAGCCGCAGCUUAUGCGGUUUAAGGGCAUUAUAUGUUAUAGGUGCAGCAGCCGGAGCCUUAGAUUGUUGAUCAGAUGUCUCCAAUGAACUUGAAUAACCACCCUUCCUGCAAGGAAUAUAGCUGAGCGACCUCUUAUUGGGACAAGUACUCUUUUUAGAAAAGAACUUGCACAAUCAGCUGCUGAUCUCUGACGAGGAAGAUCCAAAAUGCAAUUCAUUCUAACAUCAAGAAUCCUUUUCUUUAUCAAUUUCCUGCAUCAGGUCCGACCUGAGUGAAAUAGUUGUACGAGAGAGACAGGUUUGCUAAUCCAGGCAGGUCGCACACCAUCUCCGGCACCGGCCCGUAAAAUUUAUUCACGGCCAAAUUCAGGAUCUCCAUCUUUUUUAGGCAUGCAAAUGAAUGGGGUAUUGGGCCAGUCAACUUGUUGCUGCCCACAUCAAACACGACAGCCUUGUCCAAUUUGCCAAUCUCGUAUGGCAAGCACCCUUCGAGUUCAUUGUUCAAGAAAAGCACUUCAAGAAGGUUUCGGGCAUUGCCGAUACUUUUUGGAAUGGGACCACUAAAAUUGUUGUUGGCCAAAGUGAGAUAAAGGACAGGUGUGGAACCGAGAUUACAAGGAAGCUGUUGUGAGAAUUUGUUGUUGUUGAUUGAAAAGCACAUCUAGGUCUAAGUUGAAGACUUCAGCUGGAACUGACCCUGAAAAUGAGUUGAACCUGAUGUCUAAAAAGGUUAAGUUGGUGGCUUGAAGAACAGACACAGGGAAUUCACCAGAGUACUUGUUGUUGCUGAGAUCGAGCUCAAAUAAGUAACGGACUCUGGAAGUGUUAAUAUUUCUUUGGCACAGGACCAGUGAAAUUGUUGGAGUUCGCAUGAAAGAUGGAUAAGUCCGGCAACUGAUCGAGGAAACCUGUGAGCUGAAGAUCCCGGCCACCAAAAUGGUAGCCAUUGAAAUCUGCCGCUGCAAGGGCUGUCUUAUUCUGGUCAGGUACUGUUGCACAUGUAAAGCCUGGAUAAUGACAGACAUCAUUUCCCACCCAUUUUUUUGUAAUCUUCAUGGGAUUCCUUAGUGAUUAAUUUUUUGAAACUCUGAAUUGUGUGAUAGGCUCUUUUUGAUGUUUUCGCUCGCAAAAUCUGUACUUGGCGGGGGACAAUGGUGUUCAGGAGGGGGCGGGGGGGACAAAGGGGUUUGGGAGGGGGUGAAGGGGAUGGCGGCCGAGGAGGAGGCGGAGGGGGUUGAGUGGCGGGGGUGGAGGGGGGGGGAUGGCGGUGGAGGCGGCGGGGGUGGAGGGGGGGAGGGGGCGGCAGGGGACAACCGCAAUUUUCAUUCUCAGGAGAAGGGGCAGGAGAAUAUCCACCCCCACCCCCACCCCCACCUAUGAUUAUUUCUAAAGCUUCCCUCUCUGUCCCAACAACCGCAUUGUAAUGCAAGCAUGAAUGAAAAAUGAGAGUGAAAAGUAGAAUUGAAGAACACAAAGAAGCGGUACCCAUCUAUACUGGCUGAAGGGUCUCUGGACUUGAGAGAGUAAAGAGAACAGGGACAUAUAUAUAUUACUAUAAAGAGGGUAGAGGUAGACCAUAACUAAAGGAAGUCAAGAAAAGUUUUGCAAUAGAAAAGUUUUCUUGGGGUGGGACUAUUGGGAUCUCAUUUUCAGACACUUAUUUCUGCAUUACUGUUUUCCACUCCAUCCCUGCGAAUCAAACCUUUCUUUUGGGACAUGGUGGUAGCUAUUCUACAGUAACAUGGUUCGAAGUGUCUUUAUAGUGCGCCAUCCCUCGCGGGACAUGAAUAUCACGGAAAGAGCGGAAAAUAAAAGGAAAUCAUCUGAAUUUCCAAGGCACAUUCACUCCAGUAAGAAAUUCUUGGUUUUAUUUGCUGCUGAGGAUGAAGGUGUAGGGACAUUAAAUUAAACUUUUAAUUCAAUAAUUGGAUCUUGACAUUAGUGGGUACAACAUCUUCUUCAGUUAUUGGACUUCAUCUGUCAUGUCCAGAGUUUUAUCUUGUGACUAUUCUUGAUAAAUUUGACUUUUCUUCACUUGUUUUCGACCAUAGGUUCUUAAGAUACUCGUCGGAAUAUAGAUAGCCUGUCGAAGUGUGCGCUCUAAUGAAAGAUCCUUGAGCUGAAGAUACCAUUUGCACAAGGGUUCAAUGGACAGCCACCACCCGCAGCCACCAACACGUCAAACAUCACAAAACCUGUGAAUUUUAAAAAGUUGCACCAUUGAUGUAACAUAAAUUUAGGAUGUGAAGUUCGAUGGAUCAUCGGUGUGUCUCUCACCCUGCUUCUCAAUUGUUGAGAUUCGUCUCAUUGCAUUUUUAAACUCUUCAAUCAUAGAGCUGAGAACGAAAGAGAGCAUGUUUCAUAAAAGCAACCUUUUUACAUAUUUUAAGUUUGACAUGUUUACCAGGAACAUGCUUGGAAACCAGGUCAUUUUUCUCUGUUUUAUUUCAUAGGGUACAUUAUAUACAAUCUCAAACCACAGCCUAGACAAGGAGAGCAAGAACAAGAAUUUUCCCAGGAAAAAUAAACCCAAAACCUAUUAACCAACUGACAAAUUAUUGUUCUAUUUAUUUGUGCAUCCCGACUUUCCAACCAUCAUCAGAUCACUAAUCAUCAGCCGAAAAUCUGUCUUACCAGACCACAUGGAUUCAAUGCCAUACCAGCUUCAUAUUCUAUUUUUCCCAUAUAUGGCUCAUGGCCACAUGAUCCCGACAGUAGACAUGGCAAGAUUAUUUGCUAGGCGUGGAGUGAAAGCAACCAUUGUUUCCACUCCUCUUAAUGCACCCCUCUGCUCUAAAACUAUUGAAAGAGAUAGACAACUGGGUCUUGAUAUCAGUAUUCACAUUAUAAAAUUCCCUUCUGCAGAAGCUGGGCUGCCAGAAGGAUGUGAGAACCUAAGUUCUAUUCCCUCGCCUGACAUGCUUCCGAAUUUCUUAAAGGCCAUCGGCAUGCUUCAGCAACCACUUGAACAGCUCCUAGAAGAAUGCCAUCCCAGUUGUCUUGUGGCAGACAUGUUGUUUCCAUGGGCUACAGAAGCUGCAAACAAGCUCAGGAUUCCAAGGUUGUUUUUCAAUGGAAAAGGUUUUUUUCCUGUGUGUCUUCGAUUCCCUAAAACGCUAUGAACCUCCCGAAGGAGUAGAUUCAGAUUUCGAACCAUUCGUGGUGCCUGGUUUACCAGAUCAGAUAAAGCUGACAAGAUUACGACUGCCGGCUUUCAUUAAAGAGAGAACUGAGAAUGAACUUACAAAGCUGAUGGAUAAAGUCUCAGAAUCAAUGGUGAGAAGCUAUGGAGUCCUCACGAACAGUUUCCUUGAGCUGGAACCAGCUUAUUCAGAGCACUACAAGAUGGAAAUAAAAAGGAAAACAUGGCACAUCGGGCCGCUGUCCCUUUGCAACAGGGCUAUGAAAGAUAAGGCAGACAGAGGCAACGUGUCCUCCAUUCAUGAACAUGAAUGUAUGAGAUGGCUGGCCAAAAAGAGCCUCAACUCAGUUCUAUAUAUAUGUUUUGGAAGCUUCUUCAACCUUUUCGCUGCUCAGUUACUUGAGUUUGCCAUGGCCCUGGAAGCUUCUGGACAGAAUUUCAUUUGGGUUGUGAGGAGAGAAAGCAAACAAAGCUUGCAGAAAAGGAGGAGUGGUUGCCAGAAGGAUUUGAGAAAAGGAUGGAAGGGAAGGGCUUAAUAGUAUCGGGAUGGGCACCCCAGGUGCUGAUCCUUGAUCAUAAAGCUGUUGGAGGGUUCAUGACUCACUGUGGUUGGAACUCAACAUUGGAGGGAGUGACUGCAGGGGUGCCGAUGGUCACAUGGCCACUUGGUGCGGAACAAUUUUGCAAUAAAAAGCUGAUUACCGAUGUUCUCAAAAUAGGAAUUGGAGUUGGUGCCCAGGAAUGGUCAAGAUAUGAAAAGAAAAUUAUAGUGAGGAAGGAGGACAUAGAGAAGGCAAUUAUUCAGUUGAUGGUUGGUGAAGAAGCUGAGGAAAUAAGAAACAGAGCAAGGGUACUGAAAGAGAUGGCAAGGAGGGCUACGAAAGAGAUGGCAAGGAGGGUACUGAAAGCAAGAAUUGGAAUAUGAUAUGGGAAAAUAAUGCCCGAACCUAGUCUCUGCAGCCAUCCCAAAUCAGCGGAUAAAUCAUUGUUCUAUUUCUAGCCUUUUGUUCAUCCCAAAUUUCCAACCAUCAUCGGACCGCUUAAUCCUCUGCUCUAAAUCUAUACCUGUUCUACCAGGCCACACAGAUUCACAGCCAUAUCAGCUUUUCAUGUCCUAUUUCUCCCAUAUAUGGCUCAUGGCCACAUGAUCCCAACCGUUGACAUGACAAAGAUUAGUUACUAGGAAUGGGGUUAAAGCAACCGUUGUUUCCACUCCCCUUAAUGGACCCCUCUUAUCUAAAACAAUAGAAAGAGACAAGAAACUGGAUCUUGAUAUCAGACCAGAUAAAGAAGACAAGACUGCAAAUGCAACUGCCAGAUUACUUAAAACAGACAACUGAGAAUGGACUUACAAGCUAAAUCAGAUUUCAGAAUCAGAAGUGAGAAGCUAUGGAGUCCUCAUGAAUAGUUUCCAUGAGCUGGAACCAGCUUACUCAGAACACUGCAGGAAGGCAAGGCACAUCAGCCGCUAGCUGUCACUUUGCAACAGGAACAUUGAAGAUAAAGCAGAAAGAGAACAUAUAGCAUCCAUUGGUGAACAUGAAUGUUUGAGAUGACUCGCCUUGAAGAAACCCAACUCAGUUCUAUAUAUUUGUUUUGAAAGCUUGUUUGACUUCCAGCUACUCAAUCGUGUGGGAUUGCCUUAGCUCUUGAAGCUUUUUUUCCAGAAUUUCAUUUGGGUUGUAAGAAAGGGAGAGGUGAGAAAGCAUGAAGACAUGGAGGAGUGGUUGCUGGAAGGGUUUGAGAGAAGGAUGGAUGCGAAAGGAUAAAUGAUAAGGGGAUGGGAACCACAGGUGCUAAUCCUCGACCAUGAAGCUGUUGGAGGAUUCUUGACUCAUUGUUGAUGGAACUCAACGUUAAGAGGGAGUGACUGCAGGGGUGCCAAUGGUCACAUGGCCACUUUAUGUAGAGCAGUUUGAUAAUGAAAAGCUGAUUGCAUAUGUUCUAAGUAGGAAUUGGAGUUGGUGCACCCAGGAAUGGUCAAGAUAUGAAAAGAAAAUUCUAGUGAGGUAGGCUGACAUAGAGAAGGCAAUUAUUCAGCUGAUGGUUGACGAAGAACAAAUAAGAAAUAGAGCAAGGAAGUUGAAAGAGAUGGAAAGGAAGGAAACGGAAGAAGGAGGAUCGUCUUACUCUGAUUUAACUGCAUUGCUAGAUGAAUUAAUGGCCCUUGAGACAAGCAAGCAAGAAUAUGCAGCACAUUAACAUGACUGUCUUGUUAUAGUUUCCUAUUAGAAUGUUCAGAAAAUAAGUAAUGUUGUUAGCAUUUAUUAUUCUGAAAACUAGAAUAGCCAGCAAAAGAAUAAUGACUACCGUAGAAAUACUAAAUGUUGCUCGUCAUUAUUCAGGUUUUCACAGAAAUAAAAGAAAGGGCAUUUUACAUGAAUUUUGCAUCCAUUCACCAGUCACAGAUAUCCGAUGACUGUGCCUAGAAGAAAAUACAUGGUAGUUAGUAGUAAUUACUUUUUAAGAUUUUUUUAUUUAAAAUAUAUUAAAAUAAUAUAUUAUUUAUUUUUCAAACUUAUUUUUUUUACAUAAGCAAAUGAUAUGAAAAUUAUAAAAAAAUUAUUUAUUUAUUUUUGAAAACACUUUUAAAAUGUAAAAAUCUAAUCUUCAUCUAAAAAAAUAUUUUUUUAAAUAAAAAAUAUUUUUUAAAAAACAUAAUAUACUAUAUGUAAUAUUUUGGUUGGAAAAUACAAUAAAGCCCUUGGAGGCUUAAAGAGAGGGUAAAUGAUUGAAGGGUAUUGUGGUAAUUGACCAAUAGUUGAUAAAUAUAUAUAAGAAAAAAAAAGAAAGAAUGAUCUGAUUUUGAGAGAAAGAGAGUUACGGGAGAAGAGAAGAAAAGAGGAAGAAGAAGAAAAGACAGGAGAGAAGGAAAGAAAAGAGAAAAGAAGUAGAGGAAAUAAGUAAAAAGGUAAGAUUUAUGGUUUUAAGUGUAUAAUAUGUUAAAUUUCGGUUUUGAUUAAUUUUGAGAGUUUUGAAGUUUGUAUUUUGAGUUAAUUGAUGAAUUAAUUUGAAGGUUAGGAGUUGAUUAUUGUGGGUAUUUGAUUAAUUAGUUGAUUUUGAGAGAUUGAAUUGAAAGAUAAUGAUUUUGAGUUAUGAUUUUAUUUAAAUGGUGAAAUUAUGUUAGAAAUCAGGGGAUAACAGUAGGUGAUAUGUUGAAAUUCUGGGUUUGAGGUUGAAGAUGACGAAAAUUCAAUUUGGUCCCUCAAUUUGUGAAAAUUGCAAUUUAGUCCCCGAACUUUGGAAAUUUUACAGAUUGGUCCCUGGGGCAUAAAUUGAGGUUCUGAACAGAACUGAGGAUGAUUUAAGGACAAAAUUCCAGUAUAAUUAAUAUUUUCAGUUUGGUCCUCCAAUUUGACAAAAAAUAUAAUUUGACCCUAAAAAUUUGGUAAAGUUCAAGAAUGGUCCUUGGAGCAUAAUGAUAUAUCCUGGACAGAAUUAAGGAUUAAUUAUGGACAGAAUUUCAGUAUGGUUAUAUAUUUACAGUUCGAUCCUCAAAAUUUGGUAAAAUUACGUUUUGGUCCCUAUUUUGGAAAAUUGUCAUUUUAGUCCCUAAACUUGGGAGAUUAAGCCCGGUUUAUUUUAUGCUUUGGGAUCUUUUGUUUGAUUUGUUUUUUAGUAUAUUUCAUAUAUUUAUUGUAGGUUCUCUUAACGAUUCUUAAUCGGAUUUUCGGGUCUUUCGUCCGACAUUCCUUUUAGUUCUAUAUUUUCCGGGUGAGUGGAAUAAUCUUUAAUGUGCAUAUAAUAUAAAUAAAUAUGUAUAUUGAUUAUACAAUGAGUACAACUAGUAAAUUUCUUGAAUAUUUACGUAUGUUGCUUUAUUUUCCGAGUACUCGUUUAUUUUUGAAUUUGCACUCGCAAUCUGUUAAAGUAAAUUCUAUUUGAUAUGAUAUACAUUUCUUUGAUGAUUAUGUGAAUAUCUGUUAUGCCUUGAUAUGGGAUUUGUCAGUACUCCAUGCUAACGGAGAAUAGUUAGCUUGUGUGCACAUAGUAUUCUGUUACCUAGCUGGUGAGAGAGGCAUCAGCCUGUGGUGAUUGAUCAUCCCACAGUGGUCACCGACGGCGGGUUGUCAUGACGUGCAGUGUGGGAUCUAGCGGUGUCUUAGACGGGUGUCAUCUGGUCACCUUCGGGUGUCAUCUGAUCUCUGACAUGUAAUCCACUACGUUAUGAUAAUAUGUUACGUUAUGAUAAUAUGUUUAGUAAGUAUAUGUAUAUGUAUAUCAAGAUAUUAAUAUCUGAAAUGUAUAUUAAAUGUUAUUCCCUCACUGAGUUGGUUGAACUCACCUCUCAUUUUUAAUAUUAUUUCAGGUUCUUAGUUUCUGGGACUUUGUUGAGUGUUUCCGCUUCUUCAGUUCUGGUCGGUAUGCCUUGCUUGUUCGCGAGGCUUUCCUUUCAGUUUUGAUUUGAUGUCUUAGACGCUCCACUGUUACCUUGGAUUAAUUAAAUUUGGAUUUUGACAAUGUAAUGAGUAUUAUGAAUUAUUAUUUUUGUUUUAAUAACUAUCUUUCGGUUUUAUCAGUAUUUGAAUAAUAUAAUAUUUUUGAAUAUUAUAAGCCGCUGCGUAUUUUUGAACAAAUUGUUCUUUUGAUAUGUCCGUUCUGAGGCUUAGCGCAGGUGAGGUGUCCUUUCGACACCUCUCCUACGUUGCCGGUCACGGAUCCGGGAUUCGGGUCGUGACACUAUACUACUAAAUACACUGUAUGAAUAAAUAUCUAUUUUCCAGAUAUAAAAAACCCACUCUAGAAGGAAACAUGAGCCCGGCGCUCUUCCCCAACAUGGCCAGCACAACUUAAUACAUCUCAUAUUAUAUGUGAUUUAUUGAGUGUUUGGUAUACUUUCAACAUGUUUUUAGAAAAAAAUUAAUUUUUCUUCUUUAAAUCAAUCUUUCAAUAUUUUUAAAUGAUUUUAAUAUACUAAAAUAAAAAAUAUAUUUUUAAAAAAAUAAAAUUAAUACAAUUUUUUAGUAAAAAAAAAAAACUUUAAAAAACAACCACUAUCAUAUCCUCAAAAACCCCUUUAAUCUAACUUAUUAUUAAUUGCUAAAUAAGUAAAAGAUCACAACUCUUAUUUUAAUCUCAAAAUAUUGCUUUAUAAGUUUAAUAAUAUCCCGGUCAUCCCUAUAAUUUAUCCUUUUGAUAAUGAAUAAUGUUAAAAAAAAUAAAAAUAAACUCUAAUAUGAACUCUGGUCAUCAAAUAACCAGUUAGAUUUAUAGUGAUUUUUUUAAAAUUUAAUCACCAUGGCAAUUAAAUUUCUAUAAUCUGAAUUAUUAAAUUUAAAACACCACUUGUUGGAUUUUUUUUGGGAUGAAACCAUUUUUUUACAUGUGGUGGAAUAUUUAAUUAAUUUGUUUUUUCAUUUGAGUUACUUUACAGGUCAAGUUGAAUCUCUCCACUUCUCUUCUUAAAUUAAUUUGUAUUUUAUAUUAAUUACAAACAAAUUUAAUUCUCACAAGAUGCAUAAAUUGAUUUGUCUUUUAUUAGCUUGUUUUUAUUAUGAUAUUUAUCACCGAAAAUUAAGCUAAAAAAUACUCGGAUUUUUUUAUCCCGUAAAAUACUUAUCACAAUGACAAUCAAACAAAAUUAAAAUUAGAAUAGUUAAAUCUUCUCAUACUAUUUAAAUUGAAAAAAAAGAAGUUGUUCUUACUCUGUUCUAUAAAAUUUUUUUUUUUAAAAAAACUUUGGUUUGUGCUCAGAGUGUUGUUAUGCCCGAUCCCAUUUAUAUUUGGGUGCUAGGGAAUGCGAGCAUUUAUUAUUGGGUCCGUGUCAAGGUUAUUAAAAUCGUGAUUCAACUCGUAAAAUUAUAUGUUUUUACAAGUUAAUAUAGGCUUUACAUUUUAAAUCGCUCAUAAAAAUCAAAAAUCAGUAAAAUCAGUAAAAUCAGGUUAAAAUCAAGUAAAAUCGUAAAAAUCGAGUGAAAUCGCGAUUUCACCACGAUUGAACGAUUUUACCCGCAGGGAAUAAACAUUCAGUGUUGCUGCCAGGUGUCGCCUUCCUACUGGCUUAACAUAUCAAAUGCAAUUAACUUAAUUCACCGAAUCAGUCUUCUCUCUUCUCAUUCACAAGUCACGUUCUCACAAUCUCACUUCUCAGAACAUCAAAGAUUCAAAAUCUCUAAAUUGAAAAUCCCAAAUUUCACAGUGACUCAGUCUCGGUCUUAUGGGCAGAGUUUGAUAAAAAUUUGUCUUGGGCAUGUGGCUUUCACUUCUCAGACUCAGUCUCACUUGGAAUUGGAACUCUCAGUCUUAGAGGCCACCUCAUCUUCUUAUCGGCUACUGUAGGCGGCGUAGGUGUCUUUUGUAAUUGAAUUCAAGUCGAUGCUUUCAACUCUUCUCCACUGGUUCGCGGCGUUCGCCUACUCGUAUGUGCCGUCUAGGGGCUCAUCAGAAGCAAGAACUUCUACCUUGUCAACUAGUGGAUUUGCUAAGCAACUGAAAGAAAAAAAAAGAAAAGAAAUGCUCAAAGGUGGCUUGGUAACAUGCUGGCUAAGAUUGGUCUCCCUAAAGCCGAGCGUAGGGUGGCUACUCUACUCCAGUAUUUUCCCUUUCUUUGCGGGCAGGGGUGCUAAUUGGGUCUGUGACGUCUGUCAUCUGUGAAUGAAUGGGUUUGCAGUUUGCUAAUUGUUUAUGAACGGGUCUGUAAAUGGUUUGAGUCUGUGCAUUUGUUUUGAUAAAAACUGCCACUCAUUUAUUACCGAUUUUGUGGUUGAACUUUGGAUUAAACAAUUUAAUAUUUAUUUUUAAGGCAGCGACUAGCGAGUCAUUUCCAUGUCUUCCCGAAUUGAAGAAGAAUAUAACUGGGUUCUGAUUUUGAAAACAAAGUCUGUGACUGUGAAUGGAUCUGUGAAUUCAAUAUUAGUUGAAUGCAGUAUUAGCUUCUUUUUUUUUUUUUAAUAGCUGGAUGUUUAAUAUUAAAAUUAAUUAUAAUCAUAAAAUAUUUGGAUUGAUUGCAGGGUUGAUUGAGUUUCCGAAUUGAAGUAUGAAUUUUUUUUAAUAUAUUUUAAAAUUUUUUAUGAUUUUACGAUCUGUUUUUACAAUCCGAUUUGUAGAUAACUUUCCGUGCCGUAUUAAAAUCACGAUUUUAACAAUCUUGAUCUGCGCAUUAAAUCCGGAUCCAGUUAACUGGGGUGCUGGGCUAACUAAUCCAGCGCUCCAGAUUAAAUUUUUUUGGGUAUGGGUGCAGUUUUAUCUUUCAUGCAUUAUAGCAUCCUUAUUUACUUGAACAUGUACCACAAGUCCAACUUGCCCAACCUAAUAUUUAUUUGGAAUUUUUUUUUGGAUCCCAUGUAGGUUUUUUAUUAUUUUUUUAUUAAUUUAAUAUGUAUUAUUUUAAAUAAAAUAUAAUUUAAAAUAUCAAAAAAAUCAAAUUAUAUUUCUGUCUUUCAUCUCCACAUAAAAUAAGAUUUAUAGGUUAUAAAUACUCCACGGCAUUUCAAGUUCCAAGUUUAUAAUCUCAACAUUCUUAUCACUUUCAAAAUAUAUAUUUUCAGAAUUGACUCAUCGUGGAUGGAACUCGACUCUUGAAGGCAUAACUGCAGGGAAGCCCAUGAUUACAUGGCCUGUAUUUGCUGAGCAAUUCUAUAAUGAAAAGUUGGUGACUGAUGUUUUGAAAACUGGAGUUGGUGUUGGAGUCAAGGAAUGGGUUAGAGUGCGUGGAGAUCAUGUUAAGAGUGAAGCUGUAGAGAAGGCAAUCACUCGAAUCAUGGUGGGUGAAGAAGCAGAGGAAAAGAGGAGCAGAGCAAAUAAGCUAGGAGAAAUGGCAAGGAAGGCUGUUGAAGAAGGUGGUUCUUCGUGGUCUGAUUUCAAUGCUUUGAUUGAAGAGUUGAGGUCGUAUCGCCCUUGAAACUUCGACAGGAUUUCGAAAGGAUUGUCACGAACGUCGGACAACGUAUAAUAUACUAAAUUAUGUAUUGAAUUUUUUUGGGUUUUUUUUAAUAUAAAAAUAGCUAGUAAUAUACUAAAUUAUGUGAGCUAAAAACCGUGGACAAAAACUAAUCUAUAAAAAUCAAGAUUCAAGCUUUAACCACGCAAUUAAUUGUUUUUGAUCAAACGAGCAAAACCCAGAAUGUGUUUUCAAUUGAACAAUCCUUAUGUCCAUGAAAUACAACACAUGCCUUUGACUAGAUAUGGGUUAGUUCACAGUUCUUGCACUCACACACACUCUUUUAUGCUUCAAAAUUCACAAGUCUAACAGUGAUAUGAGAACUUCAUAUCCGUGCUCUCUCUUUCUCUUUCUAUUUCUCUUUACUGAUCUCAACAAAGAAAAAGACAUCAGAUUCAUUGGCUAAACUGAGUGAAAUUAAGGCUUAUCCACAAUUCUACCAAAAGAGCCUAUCCCUACAAGAAUUCCUAACCCAUUUUAGCUCCUAAUACGGAGAAAAAAAUGUUUCUUAUUCGUAACACCUUCUACUUACAAUGAACUAGGAUCAACUCAUAACAUAAACUCAAAGAACCUCAUCAUUCUUUGAAAUCUGACGACUUUAUCUAAUUACCUACAAAGUAAUCUAAAAUUUCUCGUUAAUAAUACAAGAACCACCAAAUCAUUUGUUUGCCUCACAGGGACACAUCUGCGGUUUCUCAAGCACCGUACUUGGUUAAACUUUUCUUGUCAUCAUAGUGUUAGAGAAUAAUAUAACUCAUUUCUCGGGAUCUCACCUAAUAGUUUAAGCUAUUGUGUUGAGAUGGUUUUUUGACAUGGUAUCAGAACCUUGAUGACCAAGUGGUUACGAGUUCGAAUCUCACCAUUCCUAUUUAUUUGAUAAAAAUUAAGCACAAAGUAAUGUGGUUAUGUUCAAGUUUCAAGCCCAAAAGACUUUCAUUUGAGGGGAUGUAUUAGAGAAUAAUAUAAAUCAUUUUUUAAAACCUCACCUAAUAGCUUAAGCUAUUAGAUCGAGAUGGUUUUUUGACACAUAACAGGACCGAGUUGAAGUCAUAGGCUUAUGCUAAUCCGAGUGGACUGAGAUUUGGUAAGCCCGAGAUAGGCCCAAAAGGACUGCAUUUGGAUUUGUGCAGCUUGUAUAUGAACCUUUACAUUAUUCAGACAAACCUUUCAUACAUUCUUAGUUUCUUCCUGGAAAUUCAACUGCCUGUCUCAAAAGAGCACUAUAACCGACCAAAUUUCUCUUGGUUCCAAUAUGAGGAUGACUCGAUGAUGGAACCUUACAACGAAUGGAGUUGAACGAAGCAGGGUUUGAGCAAUACCUACGGUGCAAGGAGAAAGCCGCACACUCCCGCGCUGAUCUCUGACCAGGAAGAUCAGGAAUACAAUUUUUUCUAAUAUCAAGAACGCCACUCCUCUCUAGUUUCGUACACUUUGGCCCUAGUUUUGUAAAAUAAUUACUUGAAAGUGACAAAUUCACCAAUUUCCCCAAUGCGCACACCACCUUCGGCACCUGUCCAUACAAUAAGUUGCUGGCCAAAUUGAACUGUUCAAGCUUAGCCAAGCAUCCCAACGAGCAUGGUAAAGGACCGGUUAAGAAGUUGUUACUAGCAUCAAAAAGGACUAGUUUUCUCAAAAAACCUAGUUCAUAUGGGAGGCAACCUGUAAGUAAGUUGUGCGAGAACAGCACUUCAGUUAAUGUCGCGGAAGCUUUAAGGAUGCUGCGUGGGAUUGGACCGAUAAAUUUGUUGUAAGCCAAGGUGAGGUAAAGCACUGGGGUCGAGCCUAGGUUUUCAGGUAGUCCUUGCAUAAAAUUGUUGUUGUUGAGGAAGAGUGCGUCAAGGCGUUGAGUGAAUACUCGUGGAGGAACUGUCCCAGUAAAGAAAUUGAAUCGGAUAUCUAAAAAUGAUAGGGCAGGGAUUCCAAGAACCUCCAUGGGAAAACUGCCAAAGAAAUUAUUGUUGCUUAUGUCUAGUUCAUAAAGAAAUGGUAGUUUGGUGAUUUUUGGUGAUAUGGUGCCAGAAAAUUUGUUAGAGUUGGCAUGGAAGAGAGCAAGGUCAGGGAGUUGAUCAAUGAAGCCAUCGAGAGUAGGGGCAGACAGCUGGAAUCCAUUGAAAUCAAUGGAAGCAAGGGUAAUGGCAGAGUCAUUAUCAGGUGGACUAGUACAGUAGAAGCCUUUGUAGUUGCAUAUAUCCGCGCCACCCCAAGUUUGAGUGAUGUUGAGGGGAUCAGAGGUGAUAGUGUUCUUGAAGCCUUGGAUUAUUGGAUACACUAAGGCAAGCCUUUGGUCUAAGAAGUUCAAGAUUUCUGGAAUUAAUGGAGGUGAUAUCAAUGGAGACAGGCCUUGAAAGUCUUGGCAACAAGCCAGGCAAGUGAAACAUGGAAGGAAGAGGAUUGAGAUGUGGAAUAUGCUUCUGUUGUUUGAAGAAAUGCUUCCCAUUUGAUACAUGAGGUAGCCAGAAGAGAGUUUUGAAGAAGAUGACGGGGAUUAAGAGUGCUUUCCAGUGUUAAUUUAUACUUAAUAGUUAGUGUGGUUGGUGAGUCUCAUUAUCAAAUUGGAAGGCUUGUUAAUGCUUGUUCUUCCACUUGUCUUUCGGUGGAUUGAAUCCGAGGCAUGUGUUAUGACUAAUCAUUCUCCUCCGAGGUCAAUCUGUAGAUGAUUUUGGAUUUGUUUUAGGAGCAGAACUCGGGCGAGCUCUUCAAUUUUGUGCGCGUUGGGUUGCAGUUCAUUACUCGAAGAAAAUCGUCGUGUCAUUUAAGUUUAGUGAGGCUCUCUUCAACUGCAGGUUGAUAGCCAGAAUCCCAUCACUCUGGUUCCUGGUUUCCAUCCACUGAGGGUUCCUGGUUUCCAUCCAAAAUCGUCGUGUCAUUUAAGUGCAGUAAGAGUAUGGAUGUCGUUUCUGUCCAUAGAGGAAAGGAAAGGUGGUGGCAUUUUUCCAAAAGCAAUGAUCAGCCCAUUAAGGAGAAAUUAGUGCGCCAUUAAGAAGAAGUGGGAUGCUGGCCUUUGAUACCAUGGGUGUCAUCGGGAAAAGCUGGCUGGGAAAUGAAUACCAUGGUUGAGAAAUUAGUGCGCCAUUAAGAAAUGAAUACCAUGUUGUACCGUGUUCCUUUAAUUUUAAUUUUAUUUAAAAUAGGUUUUUUUUAUAUAUAAUUUCAUAUAAUUUUAAUAUGUUAAUGUUAAAAAUAAUCAAUAAAAUUAUUUAAAUACAACCAAAAUCUCUUAUUAGUCUUGUCUAACAAAGUAUUUUUCGUGGUAUGAACUAUGAACAUGUUGAGUCAAUUUAUUUAUUUUUUUGAUUUGUUUUGAUAGAUAGGCCGGAGUGAUAUUUUUUUAAUGGCUAGUUUUCUUAAAGUAUCCUAAGCACUAAGCAUUAAGAAAAAAAAAAAAAAAAAGGCAAGCAUGGUUUUGUUUUUACUCUUCAAAAAUAUUUUUUAAAAAAAAAAAUGUAAUUUUUUUAUUUACUUUAAAUUAACUUUUUUUUAAUAUUUUCAGAUUAUUUUAAUGCGUUGAUAUAAAAAAUAAUUUUAAAAUAUUAAAAAAAUUAUUUUUAAUAAAAAUAUAUUUUAAAAAAUAACUUAUUAUCGAAUACUAGUUUGUUUAUUUUUCAUGGGCUUCACACUGACCUUCCCAUAAAAAAAAUCCCCCGUACGGAAAUCCCAGUUUAUACUUCUUAACUCGUCGCAACCAGCAGACCAACCCAGUUAAGCUAUAUAGUUGCAUUAAGCUAUAUAGUUGCAUUUGCUUUGAAAUCGAGAAGAAAACAGGAAUGAGUUCACCUUAUUGAAAACAGGAAGUAAAGGGGACAAAAUAUCAUUAAGCUAUAUAGUUGCAUUUGCUUUGAAAGCAGAAAUGAGUUCACCUUAUUCAUUAUGAUUCAUACGACAAGCUAUAAGCUGAUCAGGAGAAAUAUGUGUACAUAGAUAGGAGCAGCCAUCAAGCAAAUCAAGAGACUAUCUUGAAGGGAUCCAUUUAAAGCCGCAGCUUAUGCGGUUUAAGGGCAUUAUAUGUUAUAGGUGCAGCAGCCGGAGCCUUAGAUUGUUGAUCAGAUGUCUCCAAUGAACUUGAAUAACCACCCUUCCUGCAAGGAAUAUAGCUGAGCGACCUCUUAUUGGGACAAGUACUCUUUUUAGAAAAGAACUUGGCACAAUCAGCUGCUGAUCUCUGACGAGGAAGAUCCAAAAUGCAAUUCAUUCUAACAUCAAGAAUCCUUUUCUUUAUCAAUUUCCUGCAUUCAGGUCCGACCUGAGUGAAAUAGUUGUACGAGAGAGACAGGUUUGCUAAUCCAGGCAGGUCGCACACCAUCUCCGGCACCGGCCCGUAAAAUUUAUUCACGGCCAAAUUCAGGAUCUCCAUCUUUUUUAGGCAUGCAAAUGAAUGGGGUAUUGGGCCAGUCAACUUGUUGCUGCCCACAUCAAACACGACAGCCUUGUCCAAUUUGCCAAUCUCGUAUGGCAAGCACCCUUCGAGUUCAUUGUUCAAGAAAAGCACUUCAAGAAGGUUUCGGGCAUUGCCGAUACUUUUUGGAAUGGGACCACUAAAAUUGUUGUUGGCCAAAGUGAGAUAAAGGACAGGUGUGGAACCGAGAUUACAAGGAAGCUGUUGUGAGAAUUUGUUGUUGUUGAUGAAAAGCACAUCUAGGUCUAAGUUGAAGACUUCAGCUGGAACUGACCCUGAAAAUGAGUUGAACCUGAUGUCUAAAAAGGUUAAGUUGGUGGCUUGAAGAACAGACACAGGGAAUUCACCAGAGUACUUGUUGUUGCUGAGAUCGAGCUCAAAUAAGUAACGGACUCU
rnacentral:lncRNA from 1 species